rnacentral:rRNA from 1 species
UACGGAGGGGGCUAGCGUUGUUCGGAAUUACUGGGCGUAAAGCGCGCGUAGGCGGCUUUGUAAGUUAGAGGUGAAAGCCCGGAGCUUAACUCCGGAACUGCCUUUAAGACUGCAUCGCUAGAAUCGUGGAGAGGUGAGUGGAAUUCCGAGUGUAGAGGUGAAAUUCGUAGAUAUUCGGAAGAACACCAGUGGCGAAGGCGACUCACUGGACACGUAUUGACGCUGAGGUGGCGAAAGCGUGGGGAGCAAACAGG